rnacentral:rRNA from 1 species
GACGAACGCUGGCGGCGUGCUUAACACAUGCAAGUCGAACGGAAAGGCCCUGCUUUUGUGGGGUGCUCGAGUGGCGAACGGGUGAGUAACACGUGAGUAACCUGCCCUUGACUUUGGGAUAACUUCAGGAAACUGGGGCUAAUACCGGAUAGGAGCUCCUGCUGCAUGGUGGGGGUUGGAAAGUUUCGGCGGUUGGGGAUGGACUCGCGGCUUAUCAGCUUGUUGGUGGGGUAGUGGCUUACCAAGGCUUUGACGGGUAGCCGGCCUGAGAGGGUGACCGGCCACAUUGGGACUGAGAUACCGGCCAGACUCCUACGGGAGGAAGGAGUGGGGAAUAUUGCACAAUGGGCGGAAGCCUGAUGCAGCAACGCCGCGUGCGGGAUGACGGCCUUCGGGUUGUAAACCGCUUUCGCCUGUGACGAAGCGUGAGUGACGGUAAUGGGUAAAGAAGCACCGGCUAACUACGUG